CAGCAUUGUAUAGUUCACCAUUCAGAUAAGAACCUGAUACUCAUCAGAAAGACCACAGAGAAGACUGGAAGGAGGUCAUUCCUCUCAUCUCCUCAGCCUGCUGGUGCAGAUUUCCAACGUGCCCACAUUAUGGGAGUUUCUGUUUGUAUCCCACAGUAUGUUUGGCCUGAAGACCAUUGUGGAAAUAUGAGAUGACUUUUUAGACCUUUCUUCUAGCCUGAAGAAAGACGUUCUACUUAGGAUUAUCUUGCAAUCCAAUAAAUAAUAGCAGCUGGUCAGAAACCUGGUCUGGGAACACUGUUGGG
ensembl:lncRNA